rnacentral:rRNA from 1 species
AGGGGAAACGGCAUUAUGUGCUUGCACAUUUUGGACGUCGACCGGCGCACGGGUGAGUAUCGCGUAUCCAACCUGCCCUUUACUUGGGGAUACCCCGUUGAAAGACGGCCUAAUACCCGAUGUAAUUCAUUGAUGGCAUCAGAUAUGAAUAAAAGAUUUAUCGGUAAAGGAUGGGGAUGCGUCUGAUUAGCUUGUUGGUGAGGUAAAGGCUCACCAAGGCAACGAUCAGUAGGGGUUCUGAGAGGAAGGUCCCCCACAUUGGAACUGAGACACGGUCCAAACUCCUACGGGAGGCAGCAGUGAGGAAUAUUGGUCAAUGGGCGGAAGCCUGAACCAGCCAAGUAGCGUGCAGGAAGACGGCCCUAUGGGUUGUAAACUGCUUUUAUACGAGAAUAAUUUGAUGCACGUGUGCGUUAUUGCAUGUAUCGUAUGAAUAAGGACCGGCUAAUUCCGUGCCAGCAGCCGCGGUAAUACGGAAGGUCCAGGCGUUAUCCGGAUUUAUUGGGUUUAAAGGGAGUGUAGGCGGUUUGUUAAGCGUGUUGUGAAAUUUAGGUGCUCAACAUUUAACUUGCAGCGCGAACUGUCAGACUUGAGUACACGCAACGUAUGCGGAAUUCAUGGUGUAGCGGUGAAAUGCUUAGAUAUCAUGAAGAACUCCGAUUGCGAAGGCAGCAUACGGGAGUGUAACUGACGCUUAAGCCUCGAAGGUGCGGGUAUCGAACAGGAUUAGAUACCCUGGUAGUCCGCACAGUAAACGAUGGAUGCCCGCUGUUAGCGCCUGGCGUUAG